GGUGAACGCUGGCGGUAGGCCUAACACAUGCGAGUCGAACGGCAGCACAGUAAGAGCUUGCUCUUACGGGUGGCGAGUGGCGGACGGGUGAGGAAUACAUCGGAAUCUACUUUUUCGUGGGGGAUAACGUAGGGAAACUUACGCUAAUACCGCAUACGACCUACGGGUGAAAGCAGGGGAUCUUCGGACCUUGCGCGAUUGAAUGAGCCGAUGUCGGAUUAGCUAGUUGGCGGGGUAAAGGCCCACCAAGGCGACGAUCCGUAGCUGGUCUGAGAGGAUGAUCAGCCACACUGGAACUGAGACACGGUCCAGACUCCUACGGGAGGCAGCAGUGGGGAAUAUUGGACAAUGGGCGCAAGCCUGAUCCAGCCAUACCGCGUGGGUGAAGAAGGCCUUCGGGUUGUAAAGCCCUUUUGUUGGGAAAGAAAAGCAGCAGGUUAAUACCCCGCUGUUCUGACGGUACCCAAAGAAUAAGCACCGGCUAACUUCGUG
rnacentral:rRNA from 1 species